rfam:Aedes albopictus isolate Foshan contig107005, whole genome shotgun sequence.
UGUUAUGUGGCUUAGUUGGUUAAAGCGCCGGUCUUGGAAAUACGGAGUCGUAGGUUCGAAUCCCAUCAGAAUGC